GAUGAACGCUGGCGGCGUGCCUAAUACAUGCAAGUCGAGCGAACAGACGAGGAGCUUGCUCCUCUGACGUUAGCGGCGGACGGGUGAGUAACACGUGGAUAACCUACCUAUAAGACUGGGAUAACUUCGGGAAACCGGAGCUAAUACCGGAUAAUAUAUUGAACCGCAUGGUUCAAUAGUGAAAGACGGUUUUGCUGUCACUUAUAGAUGGAUCCGCGCCGCAUUAGCUAGUUGGUAAGGUAACGGCUUACCAAGGCAACGAUGCGUAGCCGACCUGAGAGGGUAAUCGGCCACACUGAACCUAGGACACGGUCCGGACUCCUAGGGGGGGCAGAGGUAGGAAACCUCCCGCAUGGGGCGAAGGCCUGCGGGGGCAACGCCGCGUGAGUGAUGAGGGUUUUCGAUUCGUAAAACUCUUUUCUUGGGAAAGAACAAAUGUGUAAGUACCAUUGCCCGUCUGAACGUAACCAAUCAGAAAGCCACGGCUAACUACGUG
rnacentral:rRNA from 1 species